rnacentral:lncRNA from 1 species
ACAAAUUAUUAGGGCUCCAUAAAUGGUAGAGUAUGGAUUAUAUGGAAUACACAAUUGAUCAGAGUCAUUGGUAUCCAGGAGGAGGCUCAAUUGAUUCACUGUAGAGUCAGAAACAUUUCUGGAGAUACCAUCUGUAACCUCACUGUGGUGUAUGGCUUUAAUGGGAUGGACCAGAGGAGAUCACUAUGAAAAAAUCUGCAGGAUUAUUCUGUUACUAUUACUGAACCUUGGUUAGUUGCUGCUGAUUUCAAUGCUGUUCUGUAUACUAAUGAUAGACAGUCAACUAAUCAAGUGAAGCAAGCAGAGAUCCAAGAGUUCACUCAAUGUAUUCAACAGGCUGGACUUUCAGAACUUCCCUGGAAAGGGGAGUAUUUCACCUAGACAAAUAGGCAGACAGGCAGUGAUAGAGUAUGUAGUAGACUGGACAGAGUCUUUGACAAUUAUGAGUGGAUGAUUAACUGGAGUCAUGUGCAAAUAUUUCACCUGGACAAAUAGGCAGAGAGGCAGUGAUAGAGUAUGUAGUAGACUAAACAGAGUCUUUGGCAAUUAUGAGUGGAUGAUUAACUGGAGUCAUGUGCAAACUGUAUAUGAUUAUCCCUUAAUCCCUGAUCAUAACCCUAUGGUGAUUACAUUGGCAGAAGCUACUAGGAAAGGGAAGACUCCUUUCAGAUUCUUCAAUACAUGGGCCAAUCAUGAAGACUUCUAUCAGCUGGUCAAAGAUAACUGGCA